CCACCACUAAUAAGCGGCUCUAAACGUACACGAGGACGUCUUCUAACAUAAGCGGCUCCAAUUCCUUUAGGGCCGUAAAUUUUGUGAGCAGAAAUAGACAUUAAAUCAAUGUUCAUUCGAUUGACGUCAAUGUCAAUUUUUCCAUAUCCUUGAGCAGCAUCUGAGUGAAAGAAAACCUUCUUCUGUCGACAAAUUUUGCCAAUCUCUUCUAGUGGUUGACAAACACCAAUUUCAUUAUUGACGGCCAUUACACUUACACAAACAGUAUCAGGACGUAUGGCGUCACGUAAUUCAUCCAAAUUAAUAAGGCCAUUAGUUUGAACAGGUAGAAAAGUAACUUCAAACCCUUCUUCUUGGAGAGCACGUAAGGAAUCCAAAACGCA